GAUGAACGCUGGCGGCAUGCUUUACACAUGCAAGUCGGACGGAAAGUGGUGUUUCCAGUGGCUGACGGGUUAGUAACGCGUAAGAACCUGCCCUGUGGAUGGGAACCACAUCUGAAAACGGUAGCUAAGAGCCCGUAGACUUAGUAGCGGAAGAAGUAAUCCACCCAAGGAGGGACUCGCGUCUGAUUGUCUAGUUGGUGAGUUUAUAGGGUACCAAGGCGGUUAUCCGAAUCUGUUCCGAGAGGAUUAACGGCCACACUGGGACUGAGACCAGGCGCAGACUACUACGGGCGGCAGCAGUGGGGCAUUUUCCGCAAUGGGCGAAAGCCUGACGGAGCAAUGCCGCGUGGAAGUAAAAGGCUUACGGGUCAUGAACUUCUUUUCCUGGAGAAGAAACAAUGACGGUAUCUGGGGAAUAAGCAUCGGCUAACUCUGUG
rnacentral:rRNA from 1 species